GGAUUGUGGCUCAGUGGUAGAGUGCUCACCUUGCAUGCUUGAGGCACUGGGUUUGAACCUCAGCACCA
rnacentral:tRNA from 1 species